rnacentral:rRNA from 1 species
CCUACGGGAGGCAGCAGUGGGGAAUAUUGCACAAUGGGCGCAAGCCUGACCCAGCAACGCCGCGUGAAGGAAGAAGGCUUUCGGGUUGUAAACUUCUUUUGUCAGGGAAGAAGCAAGUGACGGUACCUGACGAAUAAGACACGGCUAACUACGUCCCAGCAGCCGCGGUAAUACGUAGGCGGCAAGCGUUAUGCGGAUUUACUGGGUGUAAAGGGCGUGUAGGCGGGGAAGCAAGUCGGAUGUGAAAACCACUGGCUCAACCUGUGGCCUGCAUUUGAUACUGUUUUUCUUGAGUGCUGGAGAGGCAAUCGGAAUUCCGGGUGUAGCGGUGAAAUGCGUAGAUAUACGGAGGAACACCAGUGGCGAAGGCGGAUUGCUGGACAGUAACUGACGCUGAGGCGCGAAAGCGUGGGGAGCAAACAGGAUUAGAUACCCUGGUAGGC